ACUCAAAUGAAUUGACGGGGGCCCGCACAAGCGGUGGAUGAUGUGGAUUAAUUCGAUGCAACGCGAAGAACCUUACCUGCUUUUGACAUGCCAGGAAUUGCUGAGAGAUCAGCGAGUGCCUACGGGAACCUGGACACAGGUGCUGCAUGGCUGUCGUCAGCUCGUGUCGUGAGAUGUUGGGUUAAGUCCCGCAACGAGCGCAACCCUUGCCAUUAGUUGCCAUCAUUAAGUUGGGCACUUUAAUGGGACUGCCGGUGACAAACCGGAGGAAGGUGGGGAUGACGUCAAGUCCUCAUGGCCCUUAUAGGCAGGGCUUCACACGUCAUACAAUGGUUGGUACAGAGGGAAGCGAAGCUGCGAAGUGGAGCGAAUCUCAGAAAGCCAAUCGUAGUCCGGAUUGCAGGCUGCAACUCGCCUGCAUGAAGUCGGAAUCGCUAGUAAUCGCGGAUCAGAAUGUCGCGGUGAAUACGUUCCCGGGCCUUGUACACACCGCCCGU
rnacentral:rRNA from 1 species